rnacentral:rRNA from 1 species
GAUGAACGCUGGCGGCGUGCCUAAUACAUGCAAGUCGAGCGAACGGACGAGAAGCUUGCUUCUCUGAUGUUAGCGGCGGACGGGUGAGUAACACGUGGAUAACCUACCUAUAAGACUGGGAUAACUUCGGGAAACCGGAGCUAAUACCGGAUAAUAUUUUGAACCGCAUGGUUCAAAAGUGAAAGACGGUCUUGCUGUCACUUAUAGAUGGAUCCGCGCUGCAUUAGCUAGUUGGUAAGGUAACGGCUUACCAAGGCAACGAUGCAUAGCCGACCUGAGAGGGUGAUCGGCCACACUGGAACUGAGACACGGUCCAGACUCCUACGGGAGGCAGCAGUAGGGAAUCUUCCGCAAUGGGCGAGAGCCUGACGGAGCAACGCCGCGUGAGUGAUGAAGGUCUUCGGAUCGUAAAACUCUGUUAUUAGGGAAGAACAUAUGUGUAAGUAACUGUGCACAUCUUGACGGUACCUAAUCAGAAAGCCACGGCUAACUACGUGCCAGCAGCCGCGGUAAUACGUAGGUGGCAAGCGUUAUCCGGAAUUAUUGGGCGUAAAGCGCGCGUAGGCGGUUUUUUAAGUCUGAUGUGAAAGCCCACGGCUCAACCGUGGAGGGUCAUUGGAAACUGGAAAACUUGAGUGCAGAAGAAGAAAGUGGAAUUCCAUGUGUAGCGGUGAAAUGCGCAGAGAUAUGGAGGAACACCAGUGGCGAAGGCGACUUUCUGGUCUGUAACUGACGCUGAUGUGCGAAAGCGUGGGGAUCAAACAGGAUUAGAUACCCUGGUAGUCCACGCCGUAAACGAUGAGUGCUAAGUGUUAGGGGGUUUCCGCCCCUUAGUGCUGCAGCUAACGCAUUAAGCACUCCGCCUGGGGAGUACGACCGCAAGGUUGAAACUCAAAGGAAUUGACGGGGACCCGCACAAGCGGUGGAGCAUGUGGUUUAAUUCGAAGCAACGCGAAGAACCUUACCAAAUCUUGACAUCCUUUGACAACUCUAGAGAUAGAGCUUUCCCCUUCGGGGGACAAAGUGACAGGUGGUGCAUGGUUGUCGUCAGCUCGUGUCGUGAGAUGUUGGGUUAAGUCCCGCAACGAGCGCAACCCUUAAGCUUAGUUGCCAUCAUUAAGUUGGGCACUCUAAGUUGACUGCCGGUGACAAACCGGAGGAAGGUGGGGAUGACGUCAAAUCAUCAUGCCCCUUAUGAUUUGGGCUACACACGUGCUACAAUGGACAAUACAAAGGGCAGCGAAACCGCGAGGUCAAGCAAAUCCCAUAAAGUUGUUCUCAGUUCGGAUUGUAGUCUGCAACUCGACUACAUGAAGCUGGAAUCGCUAGUAAUCGUAGAUCAGCAUGCUACGGUGAAUACGUUCCCGGGUCU